rnacentral:siRNA from 1 species
AGCAAUGCGUAUGACUGAAGU